rnacentral:snRNA from 22 species
UCACCUUCUCGGCCUUUAUGGCUUUGAUCAAGUGUAGUAUCUGUUCUAGCAAGCUUAACAUCUUGCUUGCCCUUACGGGGGUAAAAGAAAAAUAAUUUUUAGAGGGAGGUUAAGGGAAUUGAAGGCAAGCCUUUUAUGAACUUAACGAGGAUGUGCAUGGAAACAUGAUGCGUCUACCCUAA